ACGAACGCUGGCGGCGUGCUUAACACAUGCCAGUCGAACGGAAAGGCCCUGCUUUUGUGGGGUGCUCGAGUGGCGAACGGAUGAGUAACACGUGAGUAACCUGCCCUUGACUUUGGGAUAACUUCAGGAAACUGGGGCUAAUACCGGAUAGGAGCUCCUGCUGCAUGGUGGGGGUUGGAAAGUUUCGGCGGUUGGGGAUGGACUCGCGGCUUAUCAGCUUGUUGGUGGGGUAGUGGCUUACCAAGGCUUUGACGGGUAGCCGGCCUGAGAGGGUGACCGGCCACAUUGGGACUGAGAUACGGCCCAGACUCCUACGGGAGGCAGCAGUGGGGAAUAUUGCACAAUGGGCGGAAGCCUGAUGCAGCAACGCCGCGUGCGGGAUGACGGCCUUCGGGUUGUAAACCGCUUUCGCCUGUGACGAAGCGUGAGUGACGGUAAUGGGUAAAGAAGCACCGGCUAACUACGUG
rnacentral:rRNA from 1 species